rfam:Chloroflexi bacterium RBG_13_53_26 RBG_13_scaffold_10726, whole genome shotgun sequence.
CUGACCUUUAAGCCAGUCCAGCGAGGCUGGCAAGGGUGCUAGAGUUGAAGGCCCCAGAACCCAGGAUAGCGUCGGGGCGGUUAGAUCAAAAACCUCUUGCCAGCUGGCAAGAGGUUUUUUGU